AACGAACGCUGGCGGCAUGCCUAACACAUGCAAGUCGAACGAGACCUUCGGGUCUAGUGGCGCACGGGUGCGUAACGCGUGGGAACCUGCCCUUAGGUUCGGAAUAACUCCCCGAAAGGGGUGCUAAUACCGGAUAAUGUCUUCGGACCAAAGAUUUAUCGCCUUUGGAUGGGCCCGCGUUGGAUUAGCUAGUUGGUAGGGUAAAAGCCUACCAAGGCGACGAUCCAUAACUUGUCUGAGAGGAUGAUCAGCCACACUGGGACUGAGACACGGCCCAGACUCCUACGGGAGGCAGCAGUGGGGAAUAUUGGACAAUGGGCGAAAGCCUGAUCCAGCAAUGCCGCGUGAGUGAUGAAGGCCUUAGGGUUGUAAAGCUCUUUUACCCGGGAUGAUAAUGACAGUACCGGGAGAAUAAGCUCCGGCUAACUCCGUG
rnacentral:rRNA from 1 species